CGAAUAACCCUCUAACCCCUCAGAACCCUCUCAUCUCUCCAUCUCUCUCAACUCAGCGAAAACCUAAACCGCUCUAAAAAUCAUCACCGGUGGACACUUCCCCAAACAACCAAAAAUCUUUACCCUACACUCCCCAUUCCCUAGAUCCUAAUCUAUAAUCCCCUACCGAUUUUCCCAGAAACCUCCCCAAUAUCCUUUAAUUUCAAAUCUAAAAAAUAACCAGAAACCCUAAUCUCCUUUGCUCAAUUAUUCAAGAUUCCCAAGAUCGAUUCGACCUGAAAAUUUGUGUUAAUCACUGUUCUCAAUGAGAACAUUCGAUUAACACUAGUUUCGGCUCAUCUCGAAGAAUGCCGGAAUCCGUUCAAGUCGGCCAUUUUUUUUCCUACACUGUGUGCUCUUUAGUGUAUUCAUUGUCAUCCUUGUGCCCAGUGAAGCACUCUAUGCCAUACUUCUUUGGCAAAUUCGUAUUCCAGGAAGAGGUGCUCGUUAAUUUCCUCUGAGCUUUGGCACAUCACACAUUGAGUGUUUAUCUCACUCCCCAUUUGGUUAAUCUAUCAGCAGUUAGUAGCCUGCCCUACAGUUGCAACCAUAGCAUAAAUCUUGCUUUUGGUCGAGCAGUAUUGGCGAACAUCAUGCAUUUCCAUGGCACUCUAGCUUCCUCUCCUAUAAGUUGUAUGUAUAUUUGCCUUGUGAUACUCUUUCCAGUUUGAAAUUGCAUUGCAUUUCCUCCAGUGUAGACCUUUCUUCCAUAAUCUUCCGAACCAUCCAGCAUGCCUGUUGAGGUAUAGCCACAGAGUUUAUUGAUUGACCUUUAAUAUAAUAUGUGUGUAUCCAUUUGAUCUAUAGUUUAUCCUAUUUGUGUGCUAGAUCCUAGUAGGUCUUUGCUAUAGCCGCUUUAUUCCAAAGGUGUAAAUUUGUCAGGUUAAGGCCACCUAUACUUUUUGGAGCACAAACUUUAUCCCAAGAAACCAGAGCUUUCUUGGUGAUGGUAUUGCGGCCUGACUAUAUGGAGUUUCUACAAUAGGCAUCAAUAGUCUUUAGGACUGUAGCAGGUAGCACAAACAGUUAGGCCCAGUAGGCUUGCACACCAAAUAAAAUAGUUUGGACAAGUUGAAUUCUUUCUAUAUAGGAUAGUUUCUUUACAAUCUAUGAUGAGAUCUUUGCCACUAUCUUCUCUAUAAGAGGUUGCCACUGUAUUAGGGAAAGUUUCUUGGUCGGUAGUGGAACCCCAAGAUAUUUAAAUGGUAGUUCACCUUUAGAGAAACUCAGUUCAUGUUAGAUUCUUUCUCUGUCAUCUCUGCUCACUCUACCAAAGUAUAUUGAACUUUCCCCUAAGUUUGCUUUUAGAUCCGAGGCUUCAGAAAAUUGAUUAAAGCAAUGAUCUAGUGCAGUCAUUGAUGUGAUUUCACCUCUGGCAAAGAGCAAUAGAUCAUCUGCAAAACACAAGUGUGUGAUUUCUAGCUUUGAACAUCUCGGAUGAUAAUGAAAAUCUGCCAUAUUUAUCAUUCCUUUCAGGCUCCUACUCAAGUAUUCCAUUGCAAUGGCAAAGAGGAAAGGAGACAUGAGAUCUCCUUAUUUGGGUCCUUUAGCGGCAUUGAAAGGUUCUGAUGGUUCACCAUUAAUUAAUAUACUAUAAGUGAUUGUUUGCGUACACUCUAGGACCCAUAUGAUGAAUUGUGCAAGAAAUCCUAGUUCCGCCAUGAUCUGCUUCAAGUAUAUCCACUCCACUGGACCAUAAGCUUUUUAAAAAUCUAUCUUUAUCAUGCAUAUUGAAGAUACAUACUUUCUUGUGUAAGACUUCACCAGUUCAUGUGAUAAGAUGAUAUUAUCCUAAAUCUUUUUCCCAAGUAUAAAGCCUGUUUGUGCUUCACUGAUAAUGGAUGCAAUGACCUUCUGGAUUCUUGCUGCUAUGACUUUAGAGAUCAAUUUAUACAGGAUUGUGCAACGAGCUAUUGGUCUGUAUUCCUUAACUAUUGUAGGAUUAUCACUCUUUGGCAGUAGAGGCUUAUUUUAUUUUUGCUUAGUUGUUUCUAAGGGACUGACUGAUCUCCCAGAAUGUAAUCCUACUUUGAAUUAAUGAAAUAUUUGAUAUAAUUACAAUUGCUUUGUUGUUUGUUUGGAACUGA